GUGCCCACUUUGGCAGCACAUAUAAUAAAAUUGGAAUGCUACAGAAAACAUUAGCAUGGCCUCUGCACAAACAUGACACACAAAUUUGUGAAGCGUUCCAUAUUUUU